GCCGCUUGGAUAGCUCAGUCGAUUAGAGCAUGGUGUGGAUAACGCCAAUGUCAUGGGUUCGAUUCCCAUAAGGGACA